AUUGAACGCUGGCGGCAUGCCUUACACAUGCAAGUCGAACGGCAGCACGGGAGCAAUCCUGGUGGCGAGUGGCGAACGGGUGAGUAAUGUAUCGGAACGUACCUUUCAGUGGGGGAUAACGUAGCGAAAGUUACGCUAAUACCGCAUAUUCUGUGAGCAGGAAAGCAGGGGAUCGCAAGACCUUGCGCUGAUUGAGCGGCCGAUAUCAGAUUAGCUAGUUGGUGAGGUAAAGGCUCACCAAGGCGACGAUCUGUAGCGGGUCUGAGAGGAUGAUCCGCCACACUGGAACUGAGACACGGUCCAGACUCCUACGGGAGGCAGCAGUGGGGAAUUUUGGACAAUGGGGGCAACCCUGAUCCAGCCAUGCCGCGUGAGUGAAGAAGGCCUUCGGGUUGUAAAGCUCUUUCGUCCGGGAAGAAAUCGCAUCAGCUAAUACCUGGUGUGGAUGACGGUACCGGAAUAAGAAGCACCGGCUAACUACGUGCCAGCCGCCGCGGUAAUAC
rnacentral:rRNA from 1 species